GAAGAGAUGAAAAUAAUGAAACUGUAUGGUGCAGAAAGCGUCUUUUCCAUUACAGUUUCUGCUGCUGGGCAAGCGGUAGAUCACUAUACGGCUUCUGUACCGUGAAAUGAAGCUUAUGAUAAAUAAAAUACUGCUGCUUGCUGUUCACUGAUUCAAGAUCGUUCAGUGGCUACCAUUGGCCAAUCUUACCAACGGGAUAUAAUAAGAACUGAUGCAGGUUUAUGCACCCGUAGCCAAGUGCAAUGCGAG